AUGGGAGCUCCCUUGACACCAUUGCUGUACCUUUGCCUACUGCUGGUGCCAUGCCUUCUUCUCUUGCAAGAAGCACAUGCGGCACGCCAUGGAGGGAUCUCACGGAGAUCUCAACGAAUAGCCCUCCUCCGCUGGAAAGCUACACUUGCGAGCCCACCGCUGCAGAUGAGCUCUUGGCAGGAAAACACAAGCUUGUGCAACUGGACGGACAUCAUGUGCGCAGCUGUUCGCCAUGGCCGCCGCAGGCCCUGGGUGGUCACCAACAUCUCCCUGCCAGAUGCUGGCAUCCAUGGCCAGCUUGGUGAGCUCAACUUCUCAGCCCUUCCAUUCCUCACAUAUAUUGACCUCAGCAACAACAGUCUCCAUGGUGCACUACCCGCUAGUAUCAGCUGCCUGUCAUCACUUUUGGAACUCUACCUUCCCUACAACCAGCUCACAUGGAAAAUUCCCGAUGAGAUUGGUGGCCUGCAAAGUCUGAGGGUGCUUGAGCUCUCAUUUAACAGACUCACAGGACAUAUUCCUGCGUCUCUGGGCAACCUAACAAUGUUAACUGAUCUCGCCAUUCACCAAACCAUGGUAUCAGGUCCCAUUCCUGAGGAGAUUGGAAGGCUUGUCAACCUGCAAAUUCUACAGCUAAGCAAUAGCAUCUUAAGCGGCAUAAUACCAAAAACCCUUAGAAAUCUGAGCCGGCUAAAUACUUUGUACCUGUAUGGUUCAAUACCCCCAGAACUAGGCAAACUCACUAAGCUAAACCAACUUGUUCUCUACAAAAAUCAAAUAACAGGUUCAAUACCCCCAGAACUAGGGAACCUCGCUAUUCUAAACCAACUUGAACUCUAUAGUAAUCAAAUAACUGGUUCAAUACUCCCAGAACUAGGGAAUCUCACUGUGCUCAAUGAACUUUCUCUCUAUGCAAAUCAAAUCACAGGUCCAAUACCCCCAGAACUAGGAAACCUCACUAUGCUCAAUGUACUUUAUCUCUAUACAAAUGAAAUCACAGGCGCAAUACCUUUAGAAUUGGGCAUGUUAUUGAAUCUAAGAGAAUUGGACUUGUCCGAUAACCAAAUAUCUGGCUCUAUUCCCCAAGAGAUUGGCAAUCUGAUAAACCUCAAAUAUUUAUACUUGUUUCAGAAUCAAAUUUCGGGCUCAAUACCUAGAACUUUUGGGAAGUUGCAAAGCAUGCAAGAACUACUAGUCUUUGAUAACAACUUAUCAGGUUCUCUUCCUCAAGAAUUUGAAGAUCUCAUCAGCCUUGUUACACUUGAGUUGUCUAACAACUCAUUUUCAGGACCUUUACCCUCAAAUAUUUGUUCAGGUGGCAAACUUCAAUCUCUCAUUGCCUUCUCUAAUAUGUUCAAUGGCCCCAUUCCAAGGAGUUUAAAGACAUGUACGAGUUUGGUUGAAAUUGACCUUCAAUCGAACCAUCUAAUAGGAGAUAUAUCUCAACACUUUGGUGUGUAUCCACAACUCAUAAAGAUGAUCUUGCAAUCGAAUAGACUCUCUGGGCACAUCUCACCAAAUAUAGGUGCAUGUACUCAACUAACGGUGCUACGUCUAGCACAAAAUAUGAUCACGGGUUCCAUACCUCCAGUCAUUUCUAAAUUGUCCAACCUAGAACAACUAAGACUCGAUUCUAACCAUCUGAGCGGUGAGAUUCCACCAGAAAUCUGCACUUUAGCAAAACUAUAUAACCUUAACUUAUCAUCAAACCAAUUAUCUGGAUCCAUACCUACACAGGUAGAAAAGCUAAGCAAUCUAGGAUACCUUGAUAUAUCUGGGAACAGGAUGAGUGGAUUAAUACCUAGGGAACUAGGGGCCUGCAUGAAACUAUUGUCCUUGAAGAUCAACAACAACAACUUUAGUGGGAGUUUGCGUGGUGCGAUUGGAAAUUUAGCAGGCCUACAAAUCAUGUUAGAUGUGAGCAACAAUAACCUCAGUGUUCUGUUGCCGCAGCAACUCGGGAAGUUGGAGAUGCUAGAAUUUCUGAAUUUAUCACAUAAUCAGUUCAGCGGAAGCAUCCCACCCUCCUUUGCAAGCAUGGUGAGCCUGUCAACACUUGAUGUGUCCUACAACAACUUGGAAGGACCAGUCCCAACAGCACGGCUACUUCAAAAUGCUUCAGCAAGUUGGUUUCUUCCCAAUAAAGCAGGUCACCAUAAACGGAAGACACUUGCUUUGCUUUUGCCAAUUGUUCUUGUUGUGGGUUUCAACAUUGUUGCUGCAAUUGCCGUCAUAAUAAUGCUUAGUCGUAAUAAUAGAAAACAACAAGAAAGUGUUACUGCUGAAGGAAGGGACCUAUUCUCUGUUUGGAAUUUUGAUGGAAGAUUAGCAUUUGAUGAUAUUGUAAGGGCAACCGAAGACUUCGACGAGAAGUACAUCAUUGGAACAGGAGGAUAUGGCAAAGUCUAUAAGGCACAACUCCAAGACGGACAUAUAGUUGCUGUGAAGAAGCUUCAUCAGACUGAAGAAGAGUUGGAUGACGAAAGAAGAUUUCAAAGUGAAAUGGAAAUCUUAUCACAGAUCCGACAACGAAGCAUCGUCAAAAUGUAUGGAUUCUGCUCCCAUCCAGUGUAUAAAUUUCUUGUCUAUGAGUACAUUCAGAGGGGCAGCCUCCACGGGUCAUUGGAAAAUGAGGAGCUAGCAAAGGAACUAGAUUGGCAGAAGAGAAUAACUCUUGCAACUGAUGUGGCUCAAGCAAUAUCUUAUUUGCACCAUGAAUGCAGUCCACCCAUAAUCCAUCGAGAUAUCACGAGUAACAACAUCUUGCUUGAUAUAACCUUCAGGGCUUUUGUCUCGGAUUUUGGCACAGCAAGGAUUCUUAAGCCCGAUUCAUCAAACUGGAGUGCACUAGCAGGAACAUAUGGCUACAUAGCUCCUGAACUAUCAUACACAUCUGUUGUGACAGAGAAAUGUGAUGUAUAUAGCUUUGGCGUGGUUAUGCUAGAUCUAGUGAUGGGAAAGCAUCCAAGGGAUAAAUUAGACAUUAGUUUGCCAAGCGAGAAACAAGCUAUGUUGGUGAAAGAUAUUCUGGACCAACGACCAACCACCCCAACAAUAACAGAAGAGAAUAACUUAUCUCUUCUCAUUAAGCUGGCCUUUUCUUGCUUGGAAUCUUCUCCACAAGCAAGGCCGACCAUGCGGGAGGCACACCAAACACUCAUAUGCCUUUCAGCCCACUUACAUUACAGCAAGUAA
rnacentral:rRNA from 1 species